CAUUUAUUGACAGCGUUCUUAACAACUGACAACAGCCCACUGGAGGUAACAUUGCCUAAUGGGCUAAUUACAAUUCAUAAGCCUUACAGGUAACCAGCUGUAGGAAAUGGGUGCUACGAAGACUCAAAGAAUCCAAGAAGCCACGUCCUGGUGUCAGGUGCAGAUCUUCAGCCUGAUGGGUCGUCGGAGGUGGUGGUGUUCAGCUGACGACUCACGACGACAGUACAACUUAUUUGUAAGUCCAAAGUGGUGGCACUCAGCCGCCUGCUGGCACUGCCCCACAGCUGUGCCUCUGCGCCCCUGGGGGCAGGAGCACAGGAGAGGCCCCUUCCG
ensembl:lncRNA